rnacentral:rRNA from 1 species
GAGGAAGUAAAAGUCGUAACAAGGUUUCCGUAGGUGAACCUGCGGAAGGAUCAUUAAUGAAACUUCAAAGUCGGCCAAAGGUUGUUGCUGGUGAUUAUUCACAUGUGCACGCCUUUGGUCGCAAAUCCACACACACCUGUGCAUCUAUGACUCGAGGUUGUAAUGACUGAGAGUAACUUUUAUACACUCUUGUAUGUAAUGGAAUGUCUUUUUGUGCUAUAAUGUACAAUAUAAACAACUUUCAACAACGGAUCUCUUGGCUCUCGCAUCGAUGAAGAACGCAGCGAAAUGCGAUAAGUAAUGUGAAUUGCAGAAUUCAGUGAAUCAUCGAAUCUUUGAACGCACCUUGCACCCUUUGGUAUUCCGAAGGGUACGCCCGUUUGAGUGUCAUUGUAAUCUCACUUCUACAACUUUAUUGUUGUUUGAAUGUGGACUUGGAUGUUGCCGUUUUAUCACGGCUCGUCUUAAAUGCCUGAGUGUACCCUGUUUUGCAGCGUAUCCAGUGUAAUAAACAUUUCACUAGAGUUGGUCGAAAGACCACGUUGACUAUAUGGGCUCUAUGCUUCAAACCGUCUGCCAUGUGGACAAUUUCUUGACAAUUUGACCUCAAAUCGGGUGGGACUACCCGCUGAACUUAAGCAUAUCAAUAAGCGGAGGAAAAGAAACUAACAAGGAUUCCCCUAGUAACGGCGAGUGAAGAGGGAAAAGCUCAAAUUUUAAAUCUGGUGUCUUUGACUCCCGAGUUGUAAUCUAGAGAAGUGUUUUCCGUGUCGGACCGUGUACAAGUUCCCUGGAACGGGGCGUCAUAGAGGGUGAGAAUCCCGUAUAUGCCACGGACUACCGAUGCUCUGUGAUACACUCUCAACGAGUCGAGUUGUUUGGGAAUGCAGCUCAAAAUGGGUGGUAAAUUCCAUCUAAAGCUAAAUAUUGGCGAGAGACCGAUAGCGAACAAGUACCGUGAGGGAAAGAUGAAAAGCACUUUGGAAAGAGAGUGAAACAGUACGUGAAAUUGUUGAAAGGGAAGCGUUUGAAGUCAGUCGCAUCUGUUGGGGUUCAGCCUGGCUUUUGCCUGGUGUAUUUCCUUUCCGAUGGGUCAGCAUCAGUUUCGACCGAGGGAAAAAGACAUUUGGAAUGUGGCUGUCUUCGGGCAGUGUUAUAGCCUUGUGUUGUAUGUCUCGGUUGGGACUGAGGAUUGCAGCGCGCCAUAAAUGGCCGGGGGUCGCUCCUCUCGACACGCGCUUAGGAUGCUGGCAUAAUGGCUUUAAGCGACCCGUCUUG